UGCAGCUCACUGUGUACUCACAGCUGUACAAAAGAUUACAAAAUGUGAGAUCCCCCCAAAAAAGAACCCCAGAUUGGAGACAUUCAAAGAGGUGAGCUGUAUCUAAAGAUUAUUUUCAUUAAAGAUUGAUCUGUUAAUCAUUUUCAAGAUUAAUUGAUCAGUUGUCUGGUCAAUAUAAAGUCCAAGGUGAUGUCCUCAAAAGUCUUGUUUGGUCCACAACCUAAGGAUAUUAAUGUCACUGUCAUAGAGGACUAAAGAAGCUAGAACUUUUUCACAUUAUAGAAACUUAAAUCAUAUUUGGACAUUAAAAAAAAAAAUUCCUCACUUCCUGUUUUUUAAUGGAUGCUCUUAUUUUAGUGUUUGACCACAAGGUAAUUGCUUUGGAUCUGUGCGGGGGAUAUUGCUUUAUUACUAAGCACUUUGUGUUACAUUUUGUUUGUAUGAAAAGUGCUAUACAAGUAAAGUCAGAUGGAUUGAUUUUAGUUGUUGACAACUAAUUGAUUGACUAAUCUUUGCAGCUCUUCAAAGAGGCGCUGUCUUGAGCCGCCAACAGACACGGAUGAAAUGGAUUCAAGCGACUCAACUAUAAUUCUGGAUCGGUCCACAGAAGGAACUGGCAGCCCAGGCUCAGACGGUAAAGAAAGAAGAAGAUCCCAAAGCCUUCCUGAAGAAGCACCCUCUGCCUUCUCCAGUCCUGAUGCUAACAAGUCUGCAGAUGUUGACAGUCCAGCAAACUUGGUCAGGCACUACAAGACCCUACAAACUUUGUAUAAAAGAAAAAAUCCAAACCACCAGGAUGUCUCUCAUCUCUUGGAUUUGGAAUUUAUGGCCAGAAGAGCAUUCAUUGAUUCAAAUACCGUUCGUGAGGAGGACAGACCCAAGAAGGUUUUAGAAGCAUAUCCUUGUUUUAAAGACAUUGGACAUGUAAGUCAUUAUUGACUGUGCAUGAUUAAAACCAUGGUAUCACACACAAUGUUUAAAAUACCAAUAACCUCUUAAAUCAUAGGUGAUGGAGGAGCUUCAGCGCAUUUUGGAUAAGGAUAAUGCCAACUUCAUCAAUGAAUUGAAGGGAAGAUGGCAUGACUUCUGCCAGAGGGUGCAGUUUUUUGGAGUAUGGAAAAAGGUGCUGAAACCCCCAAUGGGAAUGGACAAAGGUAGGGAAUGCUCUCUUGGUGUUAUUAGAGAAUAGGGUAAAGAGUGGACCUUCAGGCAUGUUUAUUGUCAAGUACAUGAGCUAGUGUUUUGUCGUCCUUUUUCAUCUAUGGUUGCUAUCCGAUUAUUUGCUGAAUGUUUUGUUUUGUUUUUUAAGCAUUGUCUGUUGUACACCUUUUUUUUUUUUUUUUUUUUUUUUUUUAUCUGAUUUUACCUUGUGCACUUUGUCCAAGUGUUAAAGUCAUAAAUUUUUUCCUGAAAAGCUGAACAGGCUCUUGAGAUCCUACGUGUGCUGCCAUCACUGCUCCCCUCCACGUCUGCUUCUCCAAAGAGGGUACGAGAUGUGAGUGAGGCUCUGGUGCAUGUCCUUGAGGUGAGCUGUGUAAAAUGUUGCAGGAUCAUUUUGACUGUAGUAAAAAUGAUAACUGAAGGUGCUUCCCCAGACAACACCCAAUGUAAUUCCUAUUCACAUACUGUAUGUUCUAAGCCUUAAAGGUAGGGUCUGGGAUUCGCAAAACAGCUGGCAGAUUUUGAAAAU
rnacentral:lncRNA from 1 species